GGGUUGUGAGGUUAAGCGACUAAGCGUACACGGUGGAUGCCCUGGCAGUCAGAGGCGAUGAAGGGCGUGCUAAUCUGCGAUAAGCGCCGGUAAGGUGAUAUGAACCGUUAUAACCGGCGAUACCCGAAUGGGGAAACCCAGUGUGACUCGUCACACUAUCAUUAACUGAAUCCAUAGGUUAAUGAGGCGAACCGGGGGAACUGAAACAUCUAAGUACCCCGAGGAAAAGAAAUCAACCGAGAUUCCCCCAGUAGCGGCGAGCGAACGGGGAGGAGCCCAGAGCCUGAAUCAGCAUGUGUGUUAGUGGAAGCGUCUGGAAAGGCGCGCGAUACAGGGUGACAGCCCCGUACACAAAAGCGCAUGUGCUGUGAGCUCGAUGAGUAGGGCGGGACACGUGGUAUCCUGUCUGAAUAUGGGGGGACCAUCCUCCAAGGCUAAAUACUCCUGACUGACCGAUAGUGAACCAGUACCGUGAGGGAAAGGCGAAAAGAACCCCGGCGAGGGGAGUGAAAAAGAACCUGAAACCGUGUACGUACAAGCAGUGGGAGCCCCACCACUAAGCCAGUGGUGAACUCCACAUACGCAUCCUUUGCUGAGGAUACGGUUAACGGAGCGAAAGCGACGUUCAACCUCAAAAGAAGCAGAGGGGGCUUAGUGGUGGGGUGACUGCGUACCUUUUGUAUAAUGGGUCAGCGACUUAUAUUCUGUAGCAAGGUUAACCGAAUAGGGGAGCCGGAGGGAAACCGAGUCUUAAUUGGGCGUUAAGUUGCAGGGUAUAGACCCGAAACCCGGUGAUCUAGCCAUGGGCAGGUUGAAGGUUGGGUAACACUAACUGGAGGACCGAACCGACUAAUGUUGAAAAAUUAGCGGAUGACCUGUGGCUGGGGGUGAAAGGCCAAUCAAACCGGGAGAUAGCUGGUUCUCCCCGAAAGCUAUUUAGGUAGCGCCUCGUGAAUUCAUCUCCGGGGGUAGAGCACUGUUUCGGCUAGGGGGCCAUCCCGGCUUACCAACCCGAUGCAAACUGCGAAUACCGGAGAAUGUUAUCACGGGAGACACACGGCGGGUGCUAACGUCCGUCGUGAAGAGGGAAACAACCCAGACCGCCAGCUAAGGUCCCAAAGUCAUGGUUAAGUGGGAAACGAUGUGGGAAGGCCCAGACAGCCAGGAUGUUGGCUUAGAAGCAGCCAUCAUUUAAAGAAAGCGUAAUAGCUCACUGGUCGAGUCGGCCUGCGCGGAAGAUGUAACGGGGCUAAACCAUGCACCGAAGCUGCGGCAGCGAACGUAUCACUUAAAGCGAUUCAGCGGAUGACGAUUGACGGAGCGAAGCGACGUCAAAGCGUAUACAAAGUCGAGUCGGUUUAAGGAUACGUUCGUUGGGUAGGGGAGCGUUCUGUAAGCCUGCGAAGGUGGCCUGUGAGGGUUGCUGGAGGUAUCAGAAGUGCGAAUGCUGACAUAAGUAACGAUAAAGCGGGUGAAAAGCCCGCUCGCCGGAAGACCAAGGGUUCCUGUCCAACGUUAAUCGGGGCAGGGUGAGUCGACCCCUAAGGC
rnacentral:rRNA from 1 species